GGUGACGUAGUUCAAUGGUAGAAUUCGGGAUUGUCUAUCCUGGGGUUGCGGGUUCAAGCCCCGUCGUUACCG
rnacentral:tRNA from 1 species